CCCAGCUCGUCAUGCUAAAGCACGUUUUCAAUGUGCUCCCCAAUGAGAAGGCGACGACGUAUUCGUAUGUCAAUCCAUAUCAACUUUUGAUGCAAUUGACUGCGCCUACCAUGGUAACUACGGGUAACGGGGAAUCAGGGUUCCAUUCCAUACAGGGACCCUGACAAAUGGCUACCACAUGCAAGGAAGGCAGCAGGCACGCAAAUUACCCACUCCCAACGCGGGAAGGUAGUGACG
rnacentral:rRNA from 1 species